AGAUCUGAAUGAGAACAACCUGACAAUCAUAAGCAAGAUGGAUUUCUCUGGUCUUAAACAUCUCAGAGUUCUUCACCUGAUGGAGAACCAGAUCAGUAACAUUGAAAGAGGAGCCUUUGAUGAGCUGAAGGAGCUGGAAAGACUUCGUCUGAAUAGAAACCGUCUCAGCCAGCUUCCAGAACUGCUCUUUCAGAAGAAUGAAGCAUUGUCUCGACUGUGAGUG